rnacentral:rRNA from 1 species
GGGUUUUAAAGCGUGCGCAGGCGGUUCUGUAAGUCAGAUGUGAAAUCCCCGGGCUUAACCUGGGAACUGCGUUUGAAACUGCAGAGCUAGAGUGCGGCAGAGGGAGGUGGAAUUCCAUGUGUAGCAGUGAAAUGCGUAGAGAUAUGGAAGAACAUCGAUGGCGAAGGCAACCUCCUGGGCUAGCACUGACGCUCAUGCACGAAAGCGUGGGGAGCAAACAGGAUUAGAUACCCUGGUAGUCCACGCCCUAAAACUAUGUCAACUAGUUGUCGGGUCUUAAAUAGACUUGGUAACGUAGCUAACGCGUGAAGUUGACCGCCUGGGGAGUAACGGUCGCAAAGAUUAAAAACU